UGGUUAUUAGCUUAAUGGUAAAGCACCGUCCUUUUAAGACGGGAAAUGCAGGUUCGAGUCCCGCAUGGCCAA
rnacentral:tRNA from 1 species